AGAGCGAACGCUGGCGGCAGGCCUAACACAUGCAAGUCGAGCGCGUGUAGCAAUACACGAGCGGCAGACGGGAGAGUAACACGUGGGAACGCGCCCUUCGGUUCGGAAUAACUCAGGGAAACUUGAGCUAAUACCGGAUACGCCCUUACGGGGAAAGAUUUAUUGCCGAAGGAACGGCCCGCGUCCGAUUAGCUAGUUGGUGAGGUAACGGCUCACCAAGGCGACGAUCGGUAGCUGGUCUGGGAGGAUGACCAGCCUCACUGGGACUGAGACACGGCCCAGACUCCUACGGGAGGCAGCAGUGGGGAAUAUUGGACAAUGGGCGCAAGCCUGAUCCAGCCAUGCCGCGUGGAUGAUGAAGGCCUUAGGGUUGUAAAGUCCUUUUAACGGGGAAGAUAAUGACGGUACCCGUAGAAUAAGCCCCGGCUAACUUCGUGCCAGCAGCCGC
rnacentral:rRNA from 1 species